rnacentral:rRNA from 1 species
UACGUAGGGUGCAAGCGUUAAUCGGAAUUACUGGGCGUAAAGCGUGCGCAGGCGGUUUUGUAAGUCAGAUGUGAAAUCCCCGGGCUUAACCUGGGAGCUGCGUUUGAAACUACAAGGCUAGAGUGUGGCAGAGGGGGGUGGAAUUCCACGUGUAGCAGUGAAAUGCGUAGAGAUGUGGAGGAACACCGAUGGCGAAGGCAGCCCCCUGGGUUAACACUGACGCUCAGGCACGAAAGCGUGGGGAGCAAACAGG